CUAGUGUGUAUAGCUACAAAUUUGAGGUUCUUGUACUUGAGUUUUCUGCUCAUUUAACCAUUUUAAUUACUUUGCACAUUCAGAUUAGCAACCAUGAAUCCCCUUGAACCUACAAGCUAGCUUUCGAUUUUCUGUAUUCCACCCAUGCUUGAUUCGGUGCAAAGAGAUUUUAAGAAGUUCGCAUUUGCAAGUCGGCAGGUGAUGGGAGGUGAUGACGAGCAACGGGAAGGUCCGGGUCAUCUGUUGAGAGCGCGUUUUACCUUUCGGGACACUGAAAACCUUCUGGCCUUUUGUUUUUACUGAGGCAGCACAAGUCAAAUAUUGGACUGGGAGAGAGUGUUAACUGACCCCCAGCGUAAAUGUUAAUGUGCCUAUGUGAGCAUGCUCCAAAGGAAUGCAGCAAUGACUCGUCAACACCUUCCCCUCACCAUGGAGACUAUGUCAACACAUGGGUCGGGGGAUGGGAUGAGCAUAUAUGAGAUGGGGGAUGGCAGUGUGUGUGAUUUAUUAUUAGGUAGAAGAUAUUUGUGACCUUCCGUUCCCAUAAACUUCUCUCUCGUGCUGUCACACUCUCUUUCUCCACACACACACACACACACACACAGAUAGGGACUUCAGAGCAGUUAGAUCAUUUUCAGAGUCACUUUCAUCUUCUGUGGACUUGCACUCAGUUGAUUUAUAAAACAUUCAAAACGCAGACACGCCGAGAGAGCGACGCUCGCUUAGAGACGGAUGGCGGGCUGAUAUGCAGCACCAGGGCCGGACUGUGAUCACUUAUCAGAUGUGGCUCAUGCAAUGUUGUCCGGGCUGAAAUUAUGGAUAUGAUGCAGCUUAAUUGAUUAUUUACUGUAGUGUGAAUCGCCGCCAUGCCAGCUGUAUGCCCGAAAGCCCUCAGCCUAAUUAAUGUCAGUGAGAAACUUCCAGAUUCCAAGAGAGAGGCGUCCAGGAUGUGUUCGGACUUGCUUAACACAAAGGCUCGAGGCAGUGGGAAACCACAAAAACCAUGUGUCGCUUAGGUCUGUCAAAAGUGAGAAAUCCAACUUCCUGUGAGGCCGAAGCUGCUGUAUUUUGUUCUUUCCGCAAAACAAGAUGACGAAGAAGAUGCCCAUUUUUGAAACCCGAAAUCAGUGGAGGCCUGCGGACAAGAAAGUGCAGCAUUUUCACCACUGUGGACAAAGGUAUCCAGGAUCUCAGUCUUCCAGUCGCUGCCAAGAGCUCAUGACCAUAGGACCAUAGGUAAGGGUUAGAGCGUAGAUGGACUGGUAAUUUUAAAACUAAUUUUUAAACCUUCUCCUUCUUUCCUUCCCUUUCACAAUAAUGGUCCAGCAAAAAGCUCACAUCCCCAAACCACCUGGUUGUCUCACCCUCCAUUUUAUUGUCAGUUUUAUAUCUCAAGACAGCGAAACUAUGUUGCUAAGGGCAACAAUUCACCGCUUACACGAGCCCAGUGCACCUCACUGUGGGUGGUGGGCCCACAUGGCCCAACCAAGACCAUGAGUCAUGGGUCAGAUGCUUGCUGACAACCUCCCCUCUUAGGUCUGGCUCCGGAAGAGAGUCCCAGGGUUCCAUUAUCUGGAAGAGGUGAUGCAGCUUCCUCUUUUUCAUUAGAAUCAGUGACAAAUGAUGUAUUGAUGAUAGAAAUUUAGAGCUGUUGCUGUUUAUAGCAAAGUCAAUAUGUGUAUGCAUAGGAAUAAAAACCUUGAGUCUGAGCAUUAAACCUCUGGAAGAAUAUCUGUUCCUGAAUAGUAGCUUGCAGCAGGAAUAAUGUUCAUCAUGUCCGAUGUGUGCCCUUUAUCUUUGACUUUAUCUGUGUGUCAUGAGACAUUAAUUAAUCAAUGUGACUAUAACUGGUCAUACAGUCCACUGAAGUCAUAAGGUUAUUUAAGUCCACACACUUAUGGGGGUACUGAGGUCAGACUGUGUGUACACAGCAGCUGACUGUCCUUCAUCACUCAGAUGGUCUAAACGACUGUCUGAACACAGGACUUACUGGAUUAACCACACACACACACACACACACACACACAUACUUGCAUUCCAGUUCCAGUCCUUCUGGGGACUGUCAUCCAAAAGCAGCUAUUGGUGUUUGCCAAACGGCCACUGCAUGGUUCCGCACCGCAUAAUGCACCGAGAUCUGUAGCAGGCCAGAAAACUAAAACUUCAUACUUCAUAUAGCUGAGAAGAACUGCAGUAUCUGUGUGGGUUUGUCACAAUAAUGUUACUUUAAAUUUGUUAUUUGAAAUGUUAUUGGCGUAGAAAUAUCAGUCUGUGCGGAUUUAAGUUUCCGUUUUUAUUUGUGUCCAGUUGCCUAUGAUCUAAAUGUGUAACUUCAAUAUCAAAAUUCCUUUUCUGAUUUCUGUGAAACAUUUAAUUGUGUGCUAAAUAUACCUGGUAGAAGAAG